CGAAGGUGAAGCGGGGCUUCGGCCCCGUGGAAACUGGCGCACGGGUGAGGAACGCGUGGGAAUCUACCCCGGGGUGGGGAAUAACCGCUGGAAACGGCGGCUAAUACCGCAUACGCCUUGCGAGGGAAAGCUUUAGCGCCCUGGGAUGAGCCCGCGUCGGAUUAGCUUGUUGGUGAGGUAACGGCUCACCAAGGCUUCGAUCCGUAGCUGGUCUGAGAGGAUGAUCAGCCACACUGGGACUGAGACACGGCCCAGACUCCUACGGGAGGCAGCAGUGGGGAAUAUUGGACAAUGGGGGCAACCCUGAUCCAGCCAUGCCGCGUGCGUGAAGAAGGCCUUAGGGUUGUAAAGCGCUUUCGGCGGGGAAGAUGAUGACGGUACCCGCAGAAGAAGCUCCGGCUAACUCCGUGCCAGCAGCCGCGGUAAUACGGAGGGGGCUAGCGUUGUUCGGAAUUACUGGGCGUAAAGGGCGCGUAGGCGGAUCGUCAAGUCAGAGGUGAAAGCCCUGGGCUCAACCUGGGAACUGCCUUUGAAACUAAUGGUCUAGAGUCCGAGAGAGGAUGGCGGAAUUCCCAGUGUAGAGGUGAAAUUCGUAGAUAUUGGGAA
rnacentral:rRNA from 1 species